GUUUAUUCUUUCAAUGGGCAAGAUUAUGAAAGAUGAUUUUCUUUUUUUUGUUAUUGUUUGAAGGCAGGUAGAAUUGAUUCUACCAAACUACCGACAGAUGCUAAACAAGCGUAUUGUCUAAGGUGCUAUCUCAGAGGAAAACAUUGCCUCUUAUUGUGGAGUGCGGUCAUUACUUCUCAUGCAGCUGUUUGUCAAGUUGUUUGGCAGCCUUUUGAUGCUGCUGUGGCCUCAAAAGGGUUAACAGCAAGUCAGCGGUGCUGCUGUAAUCCUCCAGGACUACCAGCAUGCUGCACUGUUGUUGUGUCAGACCGGGGGGGUUCUGGAGGAAGCUGCGCUAGCUGUGGCAGCUGCCUCAGUCACGUCUGUCAUUUUGGGUUUCUGUUUUCAACAACAUGGCUGACGUAGCAGGUAAAGCAAAAGACCACCGUAGCCUGUACAGAACCAUGUUCUUCCACUCCCUCUCACAUCCAGAAAACGCCCUACCUCCUCAGAAAACGAACGCCGUGCGUCAGGAACACGUCCUCGUUGGGGGGAAAGCAAAAACGUGUGUUUGACAAACAACCCUUGUCCUGUCUGCAGUGGUGGAAACAAUGCAGGUUCCCCUUUCAGGAUCCCCAUGGGCAAAUGGAAGAGGGAGGAAUGGCCAGCUUACCAUUAGAGUUGUUGUCAGCUGCCAACUGGCAAUAUUAGUAUUGGGGAACCUUCUACUAGAGCAAGGAAGGCAGUGAAGCUUGAACUAAAGAUCUGAAGCACUUUGCUGUGUCAUCUAUCUUCAUUGUCCCUUCUGGGAGCCACAGAAAUGGUACACACCCCAUCUGGGAACCAAAAACACCUAGCAAGUGCAGCCUGAAUGAGGGCUUGAAAUGCUCUGCCAUUUCAUUUAUCUUCUCCGUCCCUCCUGGCAACCAGAGAAACAGUGGCUGAAGGCACACCCCACCCAGAAACCAGAGACAGCAAGUGCUGUACCCUGAGCAGAAGCCUGAAAGCAAGCCAUUCCAUUCAUCCCCUGCUUCCUGUCUGCAGCACUGUACCUGGCACAGGAGUCACUUAGAAUAUGCAAACUAGGAGGAUGGAACUUCCAGAAAUUCUCACAGAGAAAAUAUAAGGUGACAGAAGCAUACAUCCGAACACCCAAACUGACCUUCUGUGGAUGAGAUAUUCCCCUAACUUUCAUUGAUAUCCCCACUGGUUUUUAAACUCACCCAUGUAAGUUGGAUUAUUUGACCCGAGAUACUCUUUCAGAGUUGAUUGUGUCAGUUAUUAGAGGUUGCCAGUCCUUGGGUCUGGAGUGGUGGGGAGUUGUGAGAAGCCAUUUGGUGACUGUCAACAUCACUAUGUUAUUCCUGUCUAUCCCUAUGUAUUGGAUUGGUUCCAAUUGGACCUUAACCAAAAUUAAACGAAAUAUGUGCUUAGGCUCUUUGGUGUUUCUAAAAUCCACUUUUUUUU
rnacentral:lncRNA from 1 species